CAAGUCAGAAAUGACCACAGUUCUUGUGAACAAGAGUCCAAGAUCCAAGUCCGAAGACCACCUGCCGGUUCUGCUGUACAAAUCCUGGACAUAAAGAAAUUCAGCAGCCUGACCAAGCUGAUCCGAGUCAUUGCCUGGGUAUGGAGAGCAGUCAGAGAGUGGCGAACUCUGACGAAACGCUCAGCCUCAAGUAAGCUAAAAUAUCAGGACUUUUCCCAACUACCCAGUCUCCUCUGCAAAACCUGCUGAAAAGAAGCGAAAGCAGCACUCAAGUAAAAUCCCGGCCACCAUUCUUCACAGGGACGUCAGACGGAUCAUUGUUUUAAUACCAGUUGAAGAACAAGAACUACAUCAUGCAAACUGAAGGUAAACUUGCCUGAACAGACGAUGAUGUGACCUCUUUGGGUUUAAAAAACCAAGAGGUCAAGUGGGAGGUGUCAAGUCAAAGUACAGAGCAGCACAAACACCAAUUAGUUGUAGAGAACACUCCAGGUCUGAAGGGGCAACAGUGAGAGCUGAGGGCUGAACAUCUCCACCUGCUCAGAGCACAUGGUCAAAAUGUUUGCUCUUCAGUCAGUCACCCCUUUGACAUGCUGCUAAGAGGAAGGAAGACAGCUCAUGUGUGGACUCGGAAGACGCAACUGAUGGUGUUGAAGACCUCGUGGGUCUCCAGGCAGAAGGUGGAGAUGGAGAGCAGGAUGAAGAACAGCGAACCAAACGCCACGUACUGCAGAGAGAGGGGGGAGCCGACAUCUCCUGCAGACAAACCACCUUCGACAUGGGGACCAGGUGGAAGUGAUUAACUAUACACGGAAGAGGUAUGAGAAGAAAGGCGAGUGCAGUACCAGCUACAGCCCAAUGAGGGGGCUGCUGUGCAAAUGUCUCACACUCAAACUAACCAGUAAACAUUUUUUAUGGGCCAAAGCUUAAAAAUCACUUAGGCAUCUUCAGAAUGGAUCUGACUAUUAUUUAAAAAGUUUUCCCUUUAGGGGACCUGUUUUUUUGUCCCCAUACCGUCAAAGGUCCCCUGAAGGUGACUUUGUAAACAG